rnacentral:rRNA from 1 species
AACGAACGCUGGCGGCAUGCCUAACACAUGCCAGUCGAACGAGACCUUCGGGUCUAGUGGCGCACGGGUGCGUAACGCGUGGGAACCUGCCCUUAGGUUCGGAAUAACUCCCCGAAAGGGGUGCUAAUACCGGAUAAUGUCUUCGGACCAAAGAUUUAUCGCCUUUGGAUGGGCCCGCGUUGGAUUAGCUAGUUGGUAGGGUAAAAGCCUACCAAGGCGACGAUCCAUAGCUGGUCUGAGAGGAUGAUCAGCCACACUGGGACUGAGACACGGCCCAGACUCCUACGGGAGGCAGCAGUGGGGAAUAUUGGACAAUGGGCGAAAGCCUGAUCCAGCAAUGCCGCGAGUGAUGAAGGCCUUAGGGUUGUAAAGCUCUUUUACCCGGGAUGAUAAUGACAGUACCGGGAGAAUAAGCUCCGGCUAACUCCGUG